AUGGUUAAAAGUGAUAUGCACACAACUUUUCCCUUGGUUUACCGUCUUGUUGAGUUAGCAUUGAUUUUACCCAUUGCAACCGCAACAGUGGAAAGAGCAUUCUCAGCAAUGAGCAUUAUCAAGACUGGAUUGAGGAACGAAAUGGGUGAUGAUUGGAUGAAUCAUAGAAUGGUAUGCUACAUUGAGCGAGAUGUAUUUGUUAGUAUUGAAGAAUCAAAGAUCAUCGAGUGA
rnacentral:rRNA from 1 species